rnacentral:rRNA from 1 species
GACGAACGCUGGCGGCGUGCUUAACACAUGCAAGUCGAACGAAGAGCGAUGGAAGCUUGCUUCUAUCAAUCUUAGUGGCGAACGGGUGAGUAACGCGUAAUCAACCUGCCCUUCAGAGGGGGACAACAGUUGGAAACGACUGCUAAUACCGCAUACGAUCUAACCUCGGCAUCGAGGAAAGAUGAAAGGUGGCCUCUAUGUAUAAGCUAUCACUGAAGGAGGGGAUUGCGUCUGAUUAGCUAGUUGGAGGGGUAACGGCCCACCAAGGCGAUGAUCAGUAGCCGGUCUGAGAGGAUGAACGGCCACAUUGGGACUGAGACACGGCCCAGACUCCUACGGGAGGCAGCAGUGGGGAAUCUUCCGCAAUGGACGAAAGUCUGACGGAGCAACGCCGCGUGAGUGAUGACGGCCUUCGGGUUGUAAAGCUCUGUUAAUCGGGACGAAGGGCCUUCUUGCGAAUAGUGAGAAGGAUUGACGGUACCGGAAUAGAAAGCCACGGCUAACUACGUG